UUGAAAUUAUUUUAGUCUGAUUUAUUGCAUUUUUUAGUCGGAAAGUACAGCCACUAUCCGUACCCGAAAGUUUAUGACCAAUAGAUUGCUCGCAAGAAAGCAAAUGGUUGUUGAUGUCUUACACCCAGGUUUACCUUCUGUUAAAAAAACCGAAAUCAGAGAAAAAUUAGCUAAAAUGUACAAGGUGACACCUGAUGUAGUAUUUGCGUUUGGGAUAAGCACA